AUGGUGGCAGCAUACUGAUCUAAGCUGGUAAUUAAGCUUAGGGUUUCUCAUGCAGGUCCCCACAUAUGUACCCUAAAGUUCAGAGUGGGGGUGGAACCUAUGACUACUUCUCCACUUCAUAGUCUACAAUAUCUUCUUGGCUUCAUCUCUCUUCUCAGUCACCUGUGUGAUGCAUACCAUUAGUCAUGCACUCACACUUGCUCCUGUCAUGACUUUAUUACAUCUGACCAGGCAAGUCUCAGAAUAAGGAAACCUCUCAAUAGAAUAAGUACUGUGUGUUCCAUUUGGACAAGGUGGUCUUUUGAACUGAUGUGGCAUUCAGCCCCAAAGUACUCCAUCUUUCAUAAAUCCCAAGGUAGUCUUGCUGUCCUUGUGCUUCUCCAAAGCAUUCACAGUCAAAGAAGAGACUCUAGAACUUGCUGGAUGUUCACUGGCCUUCAAAAUAUAGAUUGAAUGUACUCAGUUCCUCAGGAAAUCCUAGGCCCUUUCAUGUUUUUCCACUCAUGUAUGAAGGCCGAGAAAUCUUGCAAAUCAUCUAUCUCAUGAUUCAUUAGAUGGAACAUCUUGGGGGCACAAAGCAAAAAACCUUAUCUCUUCAUUAAACAUCAGGGCCCUGUCCCUAAGUGAGGGGUGACAACAUAUGUUUUGGAGGGCUAGUAUGCACAAAUUCACGUAGUCACUGACAGUUUUAAUCACAGGAAACAAACUGGCUCUACAAAGCAGAUCCACCUCAAUAACCAAACAGGCCUCUGUAGAAGGAUUGUUUUGAGAUCAGUAAAUGGCUAUGUGAGUAGAAAAUCAUUAAGAGGCAAAAUAUUUUCUCUGUCAUAGGAUCAGAUCAUCUCCCCCAACCUCCAUCCCUGACCGUUAUGUAGAGAGGCUGAUAAGUAGGACCUCACAAAAGCCCAAGGCUUAACAUCAGCCCAGAGAGCCAGAGGUGCUGAUCUAGCAAACCUUACAAAGACCUGUGCUUUGACAAGAGCCAGUAGCCUCACAGAGGCCUGACUUUGACUUUACCCCAGCAAAGUAGUGGUUCUGUGCCAGAGACCUGAGGCCUGUGUCCAGACUCAUGCUAGGAAGAUGGAGGUACCGAGCUAGUAUCCUGACAAAGUCCCGCUUGGCUUCAGCCAGCAGCCUGGAAGUGCUGUAGCCGGAACUCUGUGUCAGUGCUUUCACCAUUACCAACCUAGCAUGUCAUAUGUGAUGAGCCAGUGACCUCAUAGAAGCCCAUUCUUUGAUAUCAAUCCAGUAUGCUACAUUUGAGGAACAAGUGACCUCAUAGAGGACAUAAACCCAGUAACCUAGAGGUGCUGAAACAUUAACCACAUAAAGGCCUGUUGCCUUGGCGCCAGCCAUCAUUCUAGAAUGUGUUGAGAUUUGACUUUAUCCCAGCAAGCUAAAGGUCCUGAGCUGGUAACCCUCCAAGGCCUGUGCAUUUACAUUAACCCAGCACGCUAUAAUUGAUACAGAAGAAAAAGCAGGUGACACCCAUGAGCAGCUCUCUCAUUGAGACUCUUUGAUUCAGGUUGUUAAAUCUGAGAGGAGCCAAAAGCAUUAGGGAAUGUCUGUGGGUGUGCCAAGAAAGACCCACUCACCCACCCAGUCAGCACAGUAAACUGUUACACUACAAUGUCAUUCAGGUGAAUACAAUGGUUUCAGAACUAA